rnacentral:rRNA from 1 species
UACGUAGGCAGCAAGCGUUGUUCGGAGUUACUGGGCGUAAAGGGUGCGUAGGUGGCUCUAUAAGUAUGGUGUGAAAUCUCCCGGCUUAACUGGGAGGGUGCAGCGGAAACUAGAGUGCUAGAGGGUGGGAGAGGUAAGCGGAAUUCCUGGUGUAGCGGUGAAAUGCGUAGAUAUCAGGAGGAACACCUGCGGUGUAGACGGCUUUCUGGACCAUUGCUGACGCUGAGACACGAAAGCGUGGGUAGCAAACAGG